UUUAUGGAGAGUUUGAUCCUGGCUCAGGAUGAACGCUGGCGGCGUGCCUAAUACAUGCAAGUCGAGCGAACGGACGAGAAGCUUGCUUCUCUGAUGUUAGCGGCGGACGGGUGAGUAACACGUGGAUAACCUACCUAUAAGACUGGGAUAACUUCGGGAAACCGGAGCUAAUACCGGAUAAUAUUUUGAACCGCAUGGUUCAAAAGUGA
rnacentral:rRNA from 1 species